ACUCCUACGGGAGGCAGCAGUAGGGAAUCUUCCACAAUGGACGAAAGUCUGAUGGAGCAACGCCGCGUGAACGAUGAAGGCUUUCGGGUCGUAAAGUUCUGUUGUAAGGGAAGAACAAGUGCCGCAGGCAAUGGCGGCACCUUGACGGUACCUUGCGAGAAAGCCACGGCUAACUACGUGCCAGCAGCCGCGGUAAUACGUAGGUGGCAAGCGUUGUCCGGAAUUAUUGGGCGUAAAGCGCGCGCAGGCGGCCUCUUAAGUCUGAUGUGAAAGCCCCCGGCUCAACCGGGGGAGGGCCAUUGGAAACUGGGAGGCUUGAGUAUAGGAGAGAAGAGUGGAAUUCCACGUGUAGCGGUGAAAUGCGUAGAGAUGUGGAGGAACACCAGUGGCGAAGGCGACUCUUUGGCCUAUAACUGACGCUGAGGCGCGAAAGCGUGGGGAGCAAACAGGAUUAGAUA
rnacentral:rRNA from 1 species